AAGGAUAGUCCUGAUACUACCUUUCUUUUGUUAUUGAAGUUUAUUGUUCCUUCUCUCUUGUUUGGUGGUUGUGCACCUAUAUUGAUUUGUACUUCUGUUAAUUAAUUAUAGUCUUCUCUCUUGUUUGAGUAAUUAUUGUCUACCAUUUUGUUAGCAAAGGCUUCCCAUGGAAAUUUAGUUUGUUGUGCUGCAUGUCCAAGAUGAUUUUCGUGAUUUUAGUUUUAGAUACAUAAAAGGGAUUUUGCAUCACAACAUGAAUGACUAUUUCUAAAUAUGAACCUACAAUAACCCCAAAUGAAUACCGGAUUAAAUUGGAAACAGGGCAGAUAGAGAGUGAGAUGGAGAGUGUUUGUGUGUGCUUUAGAGUAGUUUUAAGCACAUUUUUUAGAUUUGUUUAACACUAAGUUUGUUUCACUUGCACAAUUGGUUGCCAUUUUAGGUCUCAAAGUGCAUUUUCACUCAUUUUGAACUUUUUGUUAGUUUGUGAGUUACGAACUUACACUUAAGCACUGUUAGGUCGUUUCAAACACAUUUUGUGUUUGUUUGGAACUAAGCUUGUUUAGACAUUUGAUUGACAUGUUGGGUCUCCAAGUGCUUUUUUCCACACUUUUUGAAAUUUUGGUAGGUUGUGAGUCACGAACUUACGCUUGAGUAUUGUUUGGUCCGUUUGAAAGCUUAGACACAUUUUGAACUCUUUUUAAGAUAACUUGAAACUAAGUUCAUUGCACUUACAUACUUCGUUGCCGUUUUGGGUCUCGAAGUACCUUUUUCACACUUUUUGAAAUUUUGGUAGGUUGUGAGUUACAAACUUACCCUUAAGCAUUGUUUGGUUGUUUUGAAAAUUCAAGUGAUAGUUACACACGUUUUGAAUACAUUUUAGGUUAGAUUGAGUUUGUUGCACUUGGUUGUCAUUUUUGGUCUUGAAAUGCUUUUUUCAAACUUUUUGGUAGAUUAUGAGUUACGAACUUACACUUAGGAUUUGCUAAAUCGUUUUGAAAACUCAAGUAAUACAUAGACACGUUUUGAGCACGUUUUAGGUUGGUUUGAACUAAGUUUGUUGCACUUACACACUUGGUUGCCAUUUUGGGGAUUGUAGUGCUUUUUUCACAAUAUUUGAACUUUUUUCGUAGGUUAUGAGUUACGAUCCUACACGUAAGCUGUUUUAGGACAUUUUGAAAGUUCAAGUGAUACUUAGACACGUUUUAAACUCGGUUUAGGUUAGUUCGAAACUAAGUUUGUUGACCUUAUCCAAUUGGUUGCCAUUUUCGGUCUUGAAGUGCCCUUUUCACACUUUUUGAACUUUUUGGUAGGCUAUGGGUUACCAACUUACACUUAAACUUUGUUAGGUUGUUUUGAAAGUCCAAGUGAUACUUAGACACGCCUUGACCACUUUUUAGGUUGGUUUGGAACUAAGUUUGUUGCACUUGCGCACUUGGUUGCCAUUUUGGGUCGUGUAGUGUUUCCUUUUUUUCCAUACUUCUUGAACUUUUUGGUAGGUUAUGAGUGAUGAAUUUACAAAUAAACAUUCUUAGGUCGUUCUGAAAGUUCAAGUGAUACUUAAACACGGUUUGAAAUUUUUUUAGAUUUGUUUAAGACUAAGUUUGUUUCACUUGCAUACUUGGUUGCCAUUUUAGGUCUCAAAGUGCAUUUUUCACGCAUUUUGAUUUUUUUGUUAGUUUGUGAGUUACGAACUUACACUUAACGAUUGUUAGGUCGUUUUAAACACAUUUUGCGUUGGUUUGAAACUAAGUUUGUUGCACUUACACAUUGGAUUGAAAUGUUGGGUCUUGAAGUACUUUUUUUCACACUUUUUGAAAUUUUUUUAGGUUGUGAGUUACGAACUUACGCUUGAGUAUUGUUUGGUCGGUUUGAAAUCUUAGACACGUUUUGCACUCUUUUUAGGAUGGCUUGAAACUAAGUCCGUUGCACUUACAUACUUCGUUGCCAUUUUGGGUCUUGAAGUGCUUUUCUUACACUUUUUGAAAUUUUGGUAGGUUGUGAGUUACAAACUUACACUUAAGCAUUGUUUGGUGGUUUUGAAAGUUUAAGUGAUACGUACACAUGUUUUGAAUACAUUUUAGGUUAGAUUGAUUUUGUUGCACUUGGUUGUCAUUUUUGGUCUUGAAAUGCUUUUUUCAACCUUUUUGGUAGAUCAUUACGAACCUACAUUUAGGAUUUGCUAGGUCGUUUUGAAAACUCAAGUAAUACCUAGACACGUUUUGAGCACGUUCUAGGUUGGUUUGAACUAAGUUUGUUACAAUUACACACUUGGUAGCCAUUUUGGGUCUUGUAGUGCUUUUUUCACACUAUUUGAACUUUUUUCGUAGGUUAUGAGUUACGAAUCUCAACGUAAGCUGUUUUAGGUCGUUUUGAAAGUUCAAGUGAUACUUAGACACAUUUUGUUCAAGUGAUACUGUUUUAGGUCGUUUUGAAGUGAACUUUUUUCUUCUUGUAUUGACUGUUUUACUAUUUCUUCAUGGUUUGUAUUCAUGGUAUUUAGUUUCGUACUGAAUCUUUCAUGUUCUGGUAAACAUUGCAGAAACACAUAAUUUCAUCAAUCUGUCAAAGAGUUGAAGGAGAAGACAGAAGAACUUAAAGGUCACAUGAAGACCUAAAAGUUAGGUAAUUUUUUGAAAACUUUUUUCUUUGUCUUGCUUAGUUUUAGUGGUAUUUGUUAACAGGCUGAGACAUACUCUUGUAUGCCAAGGCUGGGUGGCCAAUUCAAUGGAUGGCCUGAGACGGUGAAAUGACGAGUGUAGACAAUCGAGCAGAUUUACAAGUAGGAGGAUGGUGUUUGGUCUUACUCAAAAGCUACUGCUAGAAAGGUGAUUCUCCCUUUAUUUACACAUGUUAUCUAUAUUUAAUUACUGUUUUUAUGUGAUGGUGAAUAAAUAUUUAAGUUGUUUCAAGUUUGUACAUCAUGCUUGAGUUAAUACAUUUCUCAACUCGCACUAAUUUUAAAGUUGAGACUAAGUUUGUUGCACUUACACACUUGGUUGCCAUUUUGGAUUUUGGAGUGCUUUUUCUACAUUUUUUGAACAUUUUGGUAGGUUAUGAUUUAUGAAGUAAGACUAAAGCAUUAUUAGGUCGUUUUUAAAGUUCGAGUGAUACUUAAACAUUUUUUGAACACCUUUUAGGUUGUUACAAACUAAGUUAGUUUUACAUACAGCCAUGGUUGCCAUUUUGAGUCUUGAAAGAUUUUUUUUCACACUUUUUGAAAUUUUUGGUAAGUUAUGAGUUAUAAACUUACACUUAAGCGUUGUUAGGUUGUUUGAAAACUUAUACGUGUUUUGAAUACUUGUUAGGUUUGUAUAGAACUAAGUUCGUUGCACUUACACACUUGACAUUUUGGGUUUUGGAGUGUCUUUUUAAAAAAUUUUGAACUUUUUGCUAGUUUAUGACUUAUGAACUUGUAUUGAAUAUUUGUUAGGUCGUUUUGAUAAUUCAAGUGAUACUUAGAAAAUGCAACCGAGCUUAAACAAUUCCGCUCAUUUUUCUAAAAUUUUUAGUUUAACCUAUUGAAUAAAAUUCGAUGGAAAUUCUUGUUUUCUUUUUGUAGGAAUAAAAGGAAAUGAAAUAUAACCAAACUUGGGAUCUUUGCAAACAAUCUUCCAUGAAGAAACUAGGCUACAAGUGGUUUGGGGUUUGGGUUUUUAGGGCUUAGGGCUUUUAGGGCUUUUUGGGCUUAUGGCUUAGGGCUUUUAGCGCUUUUAGGGCUUUUAGGGCGCUUAGGGCUUUUAGGUUUUAGGGCUUAGGGCUUUUAGGGCUUAUGGCUUUAGGGUUUAGGGUUUAGGGGUUUAGGGUUUAGGGCGCUUAGGGCUUUUAGGGAUUUUAGGGCGCUUAGGGAUUUUAGGUUUUAGGGCUUAGGGCUUUUAGGGAUUAUGGCUUAGGGCUUAGCGCUUUUAGGGCUUAGGGCUUAGGGCUUAGGGCUUUAAGGGCUUUAAGCGUAUUUAGGGAUAAGGGAUUUUAGGGCUUUUAGGGCAUUUAGGGCUUUUGGGGCUUUUAGGGCUUUUAGGGCUUAGGGCGUUUGGCUUAGGGCUUUUAGGGCUUAGGGAUUAGGGCUUGGGCUUUUAGGGCUCGGGCUUUGGGCUCUUUGGGCUUUUAGGACUUUUAGUGCUCUUAGGGCUUUUUGAGCGCUUAGGGCUUAUGACUUUUAAGGCUUAGGGCUUUGGGCUUUUAGGGCUUUUAGGGCUUUUAGGGCUUUUAGGGCUUUUAGGGCUUUUACGACUUUUAGGGCUUUUAGGGCGCUUAUGGCUUUUAGCUUUUAGGGCUUAGGGCUUAGGCUUUUAGGGCUUUUAGGGCUUGGGCUUUGGGCGUUUAGGGCUUUUAGGGCUUUUAGGACGCUUAGGGCUUUUAGGUUGUAGGGCUUAGGGCUUAUGGCUUUUAGGGCUUAGCGCUUAUGGCUUAGGGCUUUUACGGCUUUUACGACUUUUAGGGCUUUUACGGCUGAGGCCUUAGGGCUUAGGCCUUAGGGCUGAGGGCUCAGGGCUUAGGGCUUAGGGUUUAGGGUUUAGGGUUUAGGGCUUAGUUCUUGUGCUUUUAUUGCUUAGGGCUUAGGGCUUGUAGGGCUUAGGGCUUAUGGCUUAAGGCUUGGGUUUUUAGGGCUUGUGCUUUGGGCUUUUAGGGCGCUUAAGUCGUUUAUGGCUUUUAAGACGUUUAGGGCUUAGGGCUUUUAGGGCUUAGGGGUUUUGGCUUACGACUUAGGGCUUGGGAUUUUAGGGCUUAGGGCUUGGGCUUUGGCCUUUUAGGGCUUUUAGGACUUUUAGGGCUUUUACGGCGCUUAGGGCUUUUAGGUUUUAGGGCUUAGGGCUUUUAGGGCUUAUAGCUUUUAGGGUUUAGGGUUUUUAGAGUUUUUAGGGCUUUUAGGGCGCUUAGGGCUUGGGCUUUUAUGGCUUGGGCUUUGGGUUUUAGGGCUUAGGGAUUUUAGGGCUUAUGGUUUUUAGGGCUUAGGGCUUAGGGCUUUUAGGGCUUAGGGGUUUUGGCUUACGGCUUAGGGCUUGGGAUUUUAGGGCUUAGGGCUUGGGCUUUGGCCUUUUAGGGCUUUUAGGACUUUUAGGGCUUUUACGGCGCUUAGGGCUUUUAGGUUUUAGGGCUUAGGGCUUUUAGGGCUUACCGCUUAGGGCUUAGGGCUUUAGGCUUUUAAGGCGCUUGAGGGUUUUAGGGCGCUUAGGGCUUUUAGGGCUUAUAGCUUUUAGGGUUUAGGGUUUUUAGGGCUUUUAGGGCGCUUAGGGCUUAGGGCUUGGGCUUUUAGGGCGCUUAGGGCUUAGGGCUUGGGCUUUUAUGGCUUGGGCUUUUAGGGCUUGGGCUUAGGGUUUUAGGGCUUGGGGAUUUUAGGGCUUAUGGCUUUAGUGUUUAGGGUUUAGGGUUUAGGGUUUAGGGUUUAGGGCGCUUAGGACUUUUAGGGAUUUUAGGGCUCUUAGGGCUUUUAGGUUUUAAGGCUUAGGGCUUUUAGGGAUUAUGGCUAGUGCUUUUAGGGCUUAGGGCUUUUAGGGCUUUUAGGGCUUAGGGAUUUUAGGGCUUUUUGGGCUUAUGGCUUAGGGCUUUUAGCGCUUUUAGGGCUUUUAGGGCUCUUAGGGCUUUUAGGUUUUAGGGCUUAAGGCUUUUAGGGCUUAUGGCUUUAGGGUUUAGGGUUUAGGGCGCUUAGGGCUUUUAGGGAUUUUAGGUUUUAGGGCUUAGGGCUUUUAGGAAUUAUGGCUUAGGGCUUAGCGCUUUUAGGGCUUAGGGCUUAGGGCUUAGGGCUUUAAGGGCUUUAAGGGUAUUUAGGGAUAAGGGAUUUUAGGGCUUUUAGGGCUUUUAGGGCAUUUAGGGCUUUUGGGGCUUUUGGGGCUUUUAGGGGUUAGGGCGUUUGGCUUAGGGCUUAGGGAUUAGGGCUUGGGCUUUUAGGGCUCGCGCAUUGGGCUUUUAGGACUUUUAGUGCUCUUAGGGCUUUUUGUGCGCUUAGGGCUUAUGACUUUUAAGGCUUAGGGCUUUGGGCUUUUAGGGCUUUUAGGACUUUUAGGGCUUUUAGGGCGCUUAUGGCUUUUAGCUUUUAGGGCUUAGGGCUUUUUGGGCUUUUUGGGCUUUUAGGGCUUAGGGCUUAGGCCUUAGGCUUUUAGGGCUUUUAGGGCUUGGGCUUUGGGCGUUUAGGGCUUUUAGGGCUUUUAGGACGCUUAGGGCUUUUAGGUUGUAGGGCUUAGGGCUUUUAGGGCUUAUGGCUUUUAGGGCUUAGCGCUUAGGGCUUAGGGCUUUUACGACUUUUACGGCUUUUACGACUUUUACGGCUUUUAGGGCUUAGGCCUUAGGGCUUAGGGCUUAGGGCUUAGGGUUUAGGGUUUAGGGUUUAGGGCUGAGUUCUUGUGCUUUUAUUGCUUAGGGCUUAGGGCUUGUAGGGCUUAGGGCUUAUGGCUUAGGGCUUGGGCUUUUAGGGCUUGGGUUUUUAGGGCUUGGGCUUUUAGGACUUUUAGGGCUUUUACGGCGCUUAGGGCUUUUAGGUUUUAGGGCUUAGGGCUUAGGGCUUUUAAGGCUUAUAGCUUUUAGGGUUUAGGGUUUUUAGGGUUUUUAGGGCUUUUAGGGCGCUUAGGGCUUGGGCUUUUAUGGCUUGGGCUUUUAUGGCUUGGGCUUUGGGUUUUAGGCCUUAGGGAUUUUAGGGCUUAUGGUUUUUAGGGCUUAGGGCUUAGGGCUUUUAGGGCUUAGGGGUUUUGGCUUACGGCUUAGGGCUUGGGAUUUUAGGGCUUAGGGCUUGGGCUUUGGCCUUUUAGGGCUUUUAGGACUUUUAGGGCUUUUACGGCGCUUAGGGCUUUCAGGUUUUAGGGCUUAGGGCUUUAGGCUUUUAGGGCGCUUGAGGGUUUUAAGGCGCUUAGGGCUUUUAGGGCUUAUAGCUUUUAGGGUUUAGGGUUUUUAGGGCUUUUAGGGCGCUUAGGACUUUUAGGGAUUUUAGGGCUCUUAGGGCUUUUAGGUUUUAAGGCUUAUGGCUUUUAGGGAUUAUGGCUAAGUGCUUUUAGGGCUUAAUGCUUUUAGGAGGACUUAGGGCUUUUAGGGCUUUUAGGGCUUAGGGCUUUUGGUGCUUUUGGGGCUUUUAGGGCUUAGGGCCUUUGGCUUAGUGCUUAGGGAUUAUGGCUUGGGCUUUUAGGGCUCGGGCUUUGGGCUCUUAGGGCUUUUAGGGCGCUUAGGGCUUUUAGGUCUUUUAGGGAUUAGGGUUUGGGCUUUUAGGGCUUGUGCUUUGGGCUUUUGGGAUUUUAAGGUUUAGGGCUUGUGCUUUUAGGGCUUGGGCUUUGGGCUUUUAGGGCUUGGGCUUUGGGCUUUUAGGGCUUUUACAGCGUUUAGGGCGCUUAGGACUUAGGGCUUAGAGCUUUUAGGGUUGAGGGCUUAAGGCUUAGGGCUUUUAGGGCUUAGGGCUCAUUGAGGAACUAGAUUUAUCUAAUGAGUAUAGGUAAAAUGGUUUUUUAUAUUGGAUUUGAUCAAUGCAAUGAAUUGUUUCAUCAUAAGACCGAUCCCUAAUUAAAUUGAUGAUCCCCAUCCUAACGAAAUGAAUUUGAUUCAUACAUGUACACACACGAACUGAACAUAGAUACAUUCACCGAAUCGUUGAUAAAGCAAUUCUACUUGGCGAGGAAAAAAUUUUCAAUAACUUGUUGAUCCCUAUCCCCAAAUUUUAAAAUUUAUCGUUCUUGAAUUUCUUGGCUUAGUGUGAAAUCGAAAUAUACCUAACCUAAUCUUAACAAUGAGUUAAUCAAUGAGUGAAAGUAUGAGAAAUGGAGUUUAAUCCCGUUUAUAGCAUAUGACAGACCAAUCACUUCCCGAAGGGUACUAGCCUUCGUAUUAUUUAAAUAAAAAAAGAAUAUUUUUUUUGAAUAUUUAUUAUUUUUGUUUAUUUUAGACGUUUCUUCUAAUCACUACUAAUCACUAUUUUCAUUUUAUAUUCUAUAAUAAGUAAUAUAACUAUAUAUUCCAAUUUGCAAAUUUAUGUAUAUUAUUUAAAUUAAAUAAAUAAAUAAAAAGAAAUUAAAUAAAUAAAUAAAUAAUGCAAUUGAAUUUUAAAUAAAAGAAUUUCUUCCCCUACUUCUUCUCUAACGGCUCUCUCUCUACUUUCUCGUCCUCUCCCCUUCUCUUAUCUUCUUCGUCUUCCUCAAAAUCGCGAUUCACGGCCAUCUUCUUCUCCCGGUCCUAACAGCGCUGGAUUUCUCAACUGUCGAUCGGGUGACAAUCAUGCCUGCCUGCUUGACAAAGCCUUUUCGGUCUACCAAUAAAGGAAAAACGAUUGCUGGUGACACGAAGGCUGUGCUCGACGCUCUUUUUCCUAUUCCACUGCGCGUCGUGGUCUUUCCCUUGCUGGUUGGAUGACUACUAUGGACGAAGCGCACAAUUACUUCCAGUCUCUGGUCGAUAAGUACCCAAGGAAGGUAAAUUCCAGCUAAGAAAGUCGAGAGCUCCUUAGUUGAUCACAAAUCCUUCCAAAUUCUUUGUUCGUAGACUAAUUUGAAAUCCUUCCAAUAUGGAUCCAUGCUGUCUUUUAUAUCCAUAAGAUACCAAUUAGAUUGUGUUAAUUAUUGUUUAUAAGAAAAUAAGUUCAAUAGAAAAAAAUAUAUAUAGCAGAAGAAGCGCAUGAAUAAGAAAGAAACAAUAAGGAACAAUAAUUACUUCCUCCAGCCCUUCGCCAGCAUAUGGUUGAGGGAACAGCAUCACCAAACUUAUCCUCAAAAAUCAGUUUUCCAGACUUGAUAUUCCAUAGACGAAAUUUGCAGUCUUCUCCACCUAAAACCAGAAUAUAUUUGGUGCAAGCUCAUGUUACCAGGAACUCCGAGAUUUCUGAAUAUAAAGAAAUUGAGCAUGCACUGAAAUGAACUACCAGAUGUGACAAACGUCUCGGUGGGAUCAACUCCAAGCUGUACACGAGGUAUGGAAAACAUCUCCAAUUUACAGCAAGUUAAAGAAAAAAAAAGAAGAGAAAAACAGCAGUUAAAAAAAACUGGGCAUCUUGCUUCUUUCUUAUUGAAAGUUUGGCCGUUUCUUUCAAGUCAAAUUGACCACAAAAUGCUCAAAUGAGAUUCUUCAAUAGGAAUAUGUAAAAAAAAUAUAAUAUGUAAAAGAAUUUUUGUGAAACGUGGGAGAGAAGCGGUAACAUUAUCCUUCAAAAAAUUCAGGAGUAAAUAUUUAUGUGAAAGGACAUAUUAUUUGGCCAUUUGACCUUAUUUGUUAUUGAAUUAUUUGGUUGGAAAUGAUAAACUACACAUUAUUGUUUGCUUCAGUUGUGAUCUUGAUUAUGGGCUAUUUGGUAUUUUGCUUACAAACUGUAUAGUUAAUUAUCUGUUAGCUUUUGUUUUCCUGUCACAGCUUUAUGUUUAUGUGGCUCAUUGUAGCCGAAAGUUUUAUUUAUCAAUCUUAUUUUUCACAGCAUAAAUGAAACUGUGUUUGAAGAAUCAGGUGCUGCUACAUCAUUCAAGGAAAUUCGUCGUAGAGGUCCGUAAGUUUUUUCCUUUGGAGCUGUGAUACUAACCUGUUUGAAUAAAGGAAUCUGACUUGGUCUUUUCCUCUUUAACAUUAUGGAUUAGGUCUUUCUCUUUACCAGAUUUCGUAGCUGAACUUUAAGAAGCAAUCAAACCGGUGUUAACUUCUUAUAUAAAGGUUAGUGCUAACUGCUAAGCUUAUUUCUAAGAUGAAAGAUGCUUUUAUCCCCUCCCCAAAGAAUAUCAUUAUUAUUUAUGUUGUAUUUCUGCUAACUAAUUCUUGCAUAGCAUCUGGUUUGAUAAAUAAAGUAAAGUUUCUGACAUCGAGGUUUUCAAGUUGGAAUAUAUAUUUAUGUUUUAGGUAGAUUCCCAAACUUUGAAGAAACGCUGCAGUACUGAGGUAAUUGAACGUUGUAAGGCAGAGCAUUGGGCUUACCGGAGCCAAGGUAUCUUCUUCGAUAACAAGUAAGGAUAGUCCUGAUACUACCUUUCUUUUGUUAUUGAAAUUUAUUGUUCCUUUUGUUGGGUUGGUGGUUGUGCACCUAUAUUGAUUUGUACUUCUGUUAAUUAAUUAUAGUCAUUCUCUCUUGUCUGAGUAAUUAUUGUCAACCAUUUUGUUAACAAAGGCUUCCCAUGGAAAUUCAGUUUGUUGUGCUGCAUGUCCACGAUGAUUUUCGUGAUUUUAGUUUUAGAUGCAUAAAAAGG
rnacentral:lncRNA from 1 species